CCAGGAUACAACCACAACUAGAUGAAUAUAAAGAUCACUAUACAUUCAUGCAUUCACCAUUCACAUCACAGUUUUACAUUCAAUGUUUAAACAGAAAUCCACGAAAAAUUCUUUUGAAAACUGUUUCCUACACGGAAACCUUUAUUCUUUAAAACGCUACCACGAGGGGUAGAAAACCUUUUAUUUUACAAAAUUCAGAAAUCCUUUUAUUACACUCAUGAAAAUUCACAUAUUCAAAUGUAAUAAAAAUACUGAACCAUAUAAACUAUCUAAGCUAUAUAUCAACAGAAAUAAAAAGGGUAAGAGCUAAACCGAACAACCUGGGUCGGAAGAUCUAUCGACCGCUACGUACGUGUCUCACGUCUCGUCUCAACCCUCACCGCCCGCGAUACCUGAAAAAUAGUGGGGGAGGUGAGAACAUGUAAACAUGUCUCCCCUCCCAGUGGGUACCGCAAGCCGAAGAAGGCGAGGAGUACUCACCGGAUCAGGAAGAGCUAUAUAACAACACGGGUCAGUGGGAAUACAGUAGGAACAAUAGUAAACGAAAGAGAUGUAUAAGGUAAUGAGCAGAUAUACUAAAUACAGUAGCAAUAAUAAUACAUGAACAGAAUGUAUAAGAACAACUACCGCUACUGUAAAGAAGAAUAUAAAACAUACCUGGGUAUCAAACUAUAGUAGCAAGACAAGUAUUUCGAAAGAACUGUAAGUAUGCAUGCAACAACUGCUACUAUAGACGUAUGCGUCAACCGAACGUAUAGACCAAAUAUACCCAAUCUGUACCGGCCGUAUUGGUACCCAACACCUCAGGCCCAUGCCACAUCUGCUCUAAACAGUAACAAGCCAUAUUGGUACCCAACACCUCAGGCUAUAAGCAUAUAACCUCACAAGGGCUCACGGGUUGACACAAGCAACCACUUUUCCGGAAAAGAACACCCCUUGCGGUGGAUCAGACCGCCGGUGUUCGUGAAAUGCGUGCGAGCAGUGGCGAUCGAUGCAGAAUGCUCAAUAGCCAACCGUCGGCAACCAGUCGACAAUCACCGCCCCUCGGGGCUAACCGACCAAAAGGUCAUCCAACUGUAAGGAAGUACAAGAACCGACCACUCAGGUCAACUAAGAUGGAACCAUUCAACAUCCUACUGAAGGUAUGCACGUACUGACUACUCAAGUCAACUGACAUAUACUCAAGAACAGACCAAUAGGUCACACGAAUGUCACAUCAUGAAUCUCUAAAAUUCAAAAUUACCGUCAGCCACUAGCUAACAAUCCAAC
rnacentral:lncRNA from 1 species